rnacentral:rRNA from 1 species
UUGAACGCUGGCGGCAUGCCUAACACAUGCAAGUCGCACGCGAAAGCGGGGCAACCCGCAAGUAGAGUGGCGGACGGGUGAGUAACGCGUAGGAAUCUACCUGGUAGUGGGGGACAACCCGGUGAAAACCGGGCUAAUACCGCAUACGAUCUACGGAUGAAAGCGGGGGACCGCAAGGCCUCGCGCUAUCAGAUGAGCCUGCGUCCGAUUAGCUAGUUGGUGAGGUAAUGGCUCACCAAGGCGACGAUCGGUAGCUGGUCUGAGAGGACGACCAGCCACACUGGGACUGAGACACGGCCCAGACUCCUACGGGAGGCAGCAGUGGGGAAUCUUGGACAAUGGGGGCAACCCUGAUCCAGCAAUGCCGCGUGUGUGAAGAAGGCCUUCGGGUUGUAAAGCACUUUCGGUGGGGACAAAAAUGGCGGAGUGAAUAUCUCCGCCCUUGAUGGUACCCAAAGAAGAAGCACCGGCUAACUCUGU